rnacentral:lncRNA from 1 species
GCCACUGGCAGGACACAGCUGGAGUUUAUUAUCUGUGUAUUCAUAAAGAAACCUUGUCUUCUAAUGUUCCUGUUUUGAUGCAGUGCUUUUGUGUUUCAUAGUGUCAGUAUUGAUUGAAGCUGAUUGACUUCACUCCUGCUGUAGAAUAAAUAAAUAAAAUAAAUUAAUUAAUAAAUAAACAAAAAGAAAGAAAAUCUGCCUCAGAAGAAACUGCGACUGAAGAUGGAAGGCAAAGCAACAAGUCAUCUGUCCAUGAACUGAGUAUGGUUACACGAUCAGCAGAGAGAAGAAUUUCUUAAAUUAUAAAGUGUCCUGGGAACAGAGCUAUUGUUACUGCCUAAUAGAGUGGAGAGAAAACUCUUCUUGUCUGUGGUGAGUGAACGACUUCUUCACUUUGAUAACUACUGCAAUUGC